AUGAUCUUCUCCCCUGUAGUUCUUGCAGGUCUGGAUGGAAGCUGUUUCCCCCACUUCCUUUAUCUGGGUGAGGAGCCACCAGUGACUUGGUCAAACUUUUCACUAUGUACAAGUUGCAGUCACCCUUCAGUCUCGGUUUGUAUGCUCAGAAGGGGCAAAGGAGGAGUCAACACCUGUUACCUCGUGUUAAUCCUCAGGAUGAACAUCCUAAGAAUGUUUGUAACUCCCUCAACACAACCCGGCAGUGGAGGGGCGCUACUUUCACCCCACAUUAUACAUGAAGACACUGAGGGUCAAGAAGAGCCCUGUGCCCAGGCGGUAGUUGGUGGGUGUCUGGGGGAAACAAGCAAUGUCAUUCCCAGCUCCACCCCACCCUGACCUCAGGCGGCCUGCCCAGAAGGAUGGUUCGUGCCAAGACUGGUGGUUUCCUUUAGUCAAACUGCGUCAGACUCUCUCUGGGGGGUUAACCGACAGGAACUGGUGGCCCAGCCUUGGCUAUGUGUAAGAUCAAAAAGGGGACACCAGCUUUCUGGGCAAAGUUCUUUUGUCAGACAGAUGAAAAAGAUAAAGCAGUCCUUGCGAAGAAGGGAGAGUAUAACUAUGUUCUUGAGCUCACGAAUGUGCACCGGGGGGAGGCUGGGCCAUAUACCUCUGCUUGGGGUGAGCCCUGGAUUAGACAUUGAAUGGGACCCCAUUUUCCUUAGCUGUAAUUACUUGUGGGACAUGUGAGGCUCAUGUCUGGAAUGCCAGAACUUGGGAGACAGAGGAAGGGGGAUUGCCACAAAUUCAAGUCCAACCUGAUCUACAUAGCAAGUUCCAGGACAGUUAGAGGUACAGAGCAAGUCUCACAAAUCAAAGGGGAAAAGGUGAGGAGUGUAGCUUGUUGGUGGAGUGCUCACCUAGCACAUUCAAGACCCUGGGUCCCAUCCCCAGCACUGUAACUAAAUAAAAGAAUUGAUU
rnacentral:lncRNA from 1 species